ensembl:lncRNA
UUUGCAUUGUGUUGUUGCUGGGGACAUAUGUUCCAGUUUGUCUUUACUGUAGUGCCGUCCUCAUAGCUCAUAGUUGCGUGCAGACGCAUAGCAUAGCAUAGCACAGCAUAGCAUAGCAUAGCACAGCAUAGCAUAGCAUAGCACAGCAUAGCACAUUCUCACUGCAGCUCUUUGUGCUGUUGCAGGAACCCUCUUCUCACAGCCAUGUGGCGUAAACACAUGCUGGGGCCACCAUACUGGUGUCUGACAACCCCCCACCCCCACCCCCACCCCCCGAAGCUCAGCAAACCCUCAUGGUUUCCACUCUUCCCACCAAUCCUGUCUGAGCAGGAGGAUGGGAGAGGAGCCCGCCACGUGCCCACCACCACUGUCUUCUUCAACCCCUGGUCCACUCAUUUCAUUUCACAGAACAAACUGGUGAAGUGCAGUGCCUUUUGCCAGAGACAUUUUAACUUAAAUGCUUGUCAGACCGUUUUCAAACUUUUCUUUUCUUGUCUGUGCCAUCUCCCACGUGAACAAAGCCUGGAUGUUGAGGAGGCUGAGGGUCCUUACGGAUUGGGAGUGAAGGAUUCUGGGUCCGCUUUGUGCCUGUACGAUAUGCUCUGCUAUGCUCUGCCCUGUACCCUCCACACACAGUCACAGCUCCCAAUGUCUUCACUGCAGAAAGACUCUGAAAAAAAAAAAAGAACUGCAGCACUCCCCUGAGUAUGUGUCAAAACAAAAUGUGACUGAAACUUUGCAUCUUGAUGGGCUUUAGGAAGGUAUGUCAUAUUCACAGUAAUGAACAGUACAGCGUGCAAUAUUCACAGUAAUGUACAGUACAGCGUCCAAUAACAUGUGAUCCUAGUUUUGUGUUUGAUCAUCGCAUGGCUGGCAGAUGUGGCCAAGGCCUUGAAAAGGUGCUCUGGUGUCAUCUGUGUUUUCUGCACGCGUUCAUGUCCUAGUGAAGGACCUCGCAUGUACUCACACAGAGGUCUGUUCACAGUGAAGGGCUAACCUAACUGGACACCCAACAAUAUGCUCUUAACGUAUGAAGUGAUGUAUUUGUAUGCAUGAACAUGUAAUCUGUAGUUAGUUUGUUUUUAUGUGUGAGCGGACAUUGUGUGCUCUGUGCUCUGACCGAGAUGAUGACACCACGCAGAGAGGAGCUCGCUUUAGAACACGUCCGGCACCAUUCUGUGCCGGGCCACACUGGGCCCACAUCCGGUCCUCGUCUGGCCCAGAACCGGCUGCUCUCCCGGUAGCCACAGCUGCUAAUGAGGGCUCAUGCACUGUGUGCAGGAAAAACAAGCACUGGUGACGCAUUACAACGUUUCGAAAUGAAACCAAUUUUGUCUUUUUAUUUGCCACAAUAAAUAUACUGU